CCUCCUCCCCUACCCGAGCGUUUAUUGGAAAAUAUGGCCGAAGGACAAUCACAAAGAAAGGAAGGUUGGGAAGAUGAAAAUGCGAGAAAGGGGAAGGGAAGGGAUGUUCCACGUGAUAUGCACAACAGUAAACAUCCAUCUUGAACGUUCUUCUAGGGGUAAUAGUAAUUAUUUGGAGAAUGGGUAAGAGCCUCACACAAAGUGGAAAAAGGAUGAUUGACGGGACCGCCAUCUUGUGUGUGGGGAAACUCUGGAAGGGAAAAAUUGGGUAACCAUUUUGGAAGCUAGCGGACUCGCCGGUCGCAUCUCAAAGUCUCCCAAUUUAUGUUCCCACACCUGGGCUCUGUAAGAAGCAGUAUCUCCACAAAUGUCAUGAGUUGAUGAUCUUCAGUCAGAGGAAAUGGAUUAUGUUAGGCCACAGAUUAAACUCUGAAACAAUCAA